AGACCGAUAGCGAACAAGNCAGUNNUNGAAUGAUGAUAAGAACUUUGAAAGGAGAGUGAAAAAGUACGUGAAAUUGUUGAAAGGGAAGGGCUUGAGAUCAGACUUGGUAUUUUGCAUGCUGCUCUCUCGGGGGCGGCCGCUGCGGUUUACCGGGCCAGCAUCGGUUUGGAGCGGCAGGAUAAUGGCGGAGGAAUGUGGCACGGCUUCUGCUGUGUGUUAUAGCCUCUGACGAUACUGCCAGCCUAGACCGAGGACUGCGGUUUUUACCUAGGAUGUUGGCAUAAUGAUCUUAAGUCGCCCGUCUUGAAACACGGACCAAG
rnacentral:rRNA from 1 species